rnacentral:rRNA from 1 species
UACGAAGGGGGCUAGCGUUGCUCGGAAUCACUGGGCGUAAAGGGUGCGUAGGCGGGUCUUUAAGUCAGGGGUGAAAUCCUGGAGCUCAACUCCAGAACUGCCUUUGAUACUGAAGAUCUUGAGUUCGGGAGAGGUGAGUGGAACUGCGAGUGUAGAGGUGAAAUUCGUAGAUAUUCGCAAGAACACCAGUGGCGAAGGCGGCUCACUGGCCCGAUACUGACGCUGAGGCACGAAAGCGUGGGGAGGCAAACAGG